UAUCUUGGAUGACGCGAGGCAGGUCUUCAAACUUGUUUCUAGUUUUCCUAUUUUUAAUUAGGGUUAGUUAAAUAAGUUUUCUACUUUAUCUAGAAUUUAGUUCUUCCUAUUUUAUUUAGAUUUCCUAUUGCACUUUUGACUCAGUGCGAAGUAUUAUGAGGAGCUUAAAGUACCACUUAGUUUAGGAUUUCUAUUAUUAUUUG
rnacentral:misc_RNA from 1 species